rnacentral:rRNA from 1 species
ACGAACGCUGGCGGCAUGCCUAACACAUGCAAGUCGAACGAGCCCUUCGGGGUUAGUGGCGCACGGGUGCGUAACGCGUGGGAAUCUGCCCUUGGGUUCGGAAUAACAGUUAGAAAUGACUGCUAAUACCGGAUGAUGUCUUCGGACCAAAGAUUUAUCGCCCAGGGAUGAGCCCGCGUAGGAUUAGCUAGUUGGUGUGGUAAUGGCGCACCAAGGCGACGAUCCUUAGCUGGUCUGAGAGGAUGAUCAGCCACACUGGGACUGAGACACGGCCCAGACUCCUACGGGAGGCAGCAGUGGGGAAUAUUGGACAAUGGGCGCAAGCCUGAUCCAGCAAUGCCGCGUGAGUGAUGAAGGCCUUAGGGUUGUAAAGCUCUUUUACCCGGGAUGAUAAUGACAGUACCGGGAGAAUAAGCUCCGGCUAACUCCGU